GGGGAUGUAGCUCAGUGGUAGAGUGCUUGCCUGGCAUGCACAGAGCCCUGGGUUCCAUGCCCAGCACCACCA
rnacentral:tRNA from 1 species